UUUCCGUAGGUGAACCUGCGGAAGGAUCAUUAUCGAAUAGCAAUCCGGGGGGGAGGCCACCGCGCGCAGUUUGGUAGAUCGUAGGGAUUGUCGCUGGCCUUUGGAAACGAAGGCAUGUGCACGUUCCGAGUUCUCCUUAGUCCUCCUUUGCCUUUCCUUUGGAAGACCCUUUCUUCACACCCGUGCACACAUUGUAGGUCUCCGCGAGGGGAGCUAUGUCUUCACAAAACUCUACGUAUGUCCAGGAAUGUAUCUAAAGCGGCGAACGGCUCGGCUCCAUGGCCGGUCGCAGACGGUAAAGCACCAUAAUACAACUUUCAGCAACGGAUCUCUUGGCUCUC
rnacentral:misc_RNA from 1 species